rnacentral:rRNA from 1 species
CAGUAACAAAGUCUGGUGCCAGCAGCCGCGGUAAUUCCAGCUCCAAUAGCGUAUAUUAAAGUUGUUGCAGUUAAAAAGCUCGUAGUUAAUUUUCUGUUAAUUUUUAUAUACAAUGCUACGGUAUUUAUAUAAUAUUAACAUAAUUCAUAUUACUUUUUAGUAUAUGAAACUUUACUUUGAGAAAAUUAGAGUGCUUAAAGCAGGCUAUUGCCUUGAAUACUCCAGCAUGGAAUAAUAUUAAGGAUUAUUAUUCUUCUUACAUGUUCUAUAAUAAUAAUACCGUGUUCUAUUUUCAUUUGGGGGCAUUUGUGUUUUGCUUACUAAGGUGAAAUGGGGGUUUUGUUAAAGACAAACUACAGGUGAAGCAUUUGCCAAGGAUGUUUUCAUUAAUCAGCAACGAAAGUUAGGGGAUCGAAGACGAUCAGAUACCGUCGUAGUCUUAACCAUAAACUAUGCCAACUAGAGAUUGGAGGUUGUU